CAAUAUUAUACGGUCAACAAAAAUUAUCUUAUAAUGGGUCAGAUAUUGCGUUUUCUCCAUAUGGUGAAUUUUAGAGAGAAAUGAGAAAAAUUUGUGCUAUUCGUAUAUUUAGUUCCCAACGUGUGUCAUAUUAUUCUUCUAUAAGAAAAUUUGAGGUGAAGAAAAUUAUUGAAAAAAUUUCAAGGCAUGCUACUUCUUCGAGUGUUACAAAUUUGAGUGAAUUAUUGAUUUCACUAUCAAGUACUUUAAUAUGUAGGAUUGCUUUUGGGAAAAGCUAUGAGAAUGAUGGAAAUGAGAGAAGUAGGUUUCAUGAAAUGUUGCAUGAGUUCCAAGCUUUGUUUGCAGAAUUCUUUUUUCUGAUUAUAUUCCAUUCACGGGUUGGAUCGAUAAACUAAGAGGAUUGCAUGGUCGUGUUGAUAGAAUUUUCAAGGAAUUUGAUGAGUUUUCUCAAGAGAUAUUGAUGAACAUUUGGAUCCAAAUAGACAACAAAUUGCAGAUGAUGAAGAAGAUAUUGUUGAUAUCUUACUCCAAUUGAAGAAAAAGCAUUCAUUUUCUUUUGAUUUCACUUUUGAUCACAUCAAAGCAAUAGUCCUAGUGGUAUGUUAUUUUAAUUCAAUUUUCUCUAUUUUUAUAUUUUAUUUAUUUUUGGUGAAUUUCUUAUACACAUACAAGCCGUUUUUCUAAUGUACGUAGACAAAUGAGAUAAUAUUUUUAUGGGUGAUGCUA